rnacentral:rRNA from 1 species
GACGAACGCUGGCGGCGCGCUUAACACAUGCAAGUCGAACGGUAAGGCCCUUCGGGGUACACGAGUGGCGAACGGGUGAGUAACACGUGGGUGAUCUGCCCUGCACUUCGGGAUAAGCCUGGGAAACUGGGUCUAAUACCGGAUAGGACCACUGCCUGCAUGGGUGGUGGUGGAAAGCUUUUGCGGUGUGGGAUGGGCCCGCGGCCUAUCAGCUUGUUGGUGGGGUGGUGGCCUACCAAGGCGACGACGGGUAGCCGGCCUGAGAGGGUGACCGGCCACACUGGGACUGAGAUACGGCCCAGACGCCUACGGGAGGCAGCAGUGGGGAAUAUUGCACGAUGGGCGCAAGCCUGAUGCAGCGACGCCGCGUGAGGGAUGACGGCCUUCGGGUUGUAAACCUCUUUCAGCACCGACGAAGCGCAAGUGACGGUACCUACAGAAGAAGGACCGGCCAACUACGUGCCAGCCGCCGCCGUAA